CACUUGAAUGUAAGGAUGUAGCAAGUGUAUACACACUAAAAAUGUGUUCCUUGUUUCUCGCCUAUUUGUUGAUAUCUUGUCCUCUUGACAUUUUACUUCACUUCGUUUCUGGCAUCGAGAGCGAGUGGUUUAUAAAAUCUUAAUUGUGUGUUUUAUUUAUUCAUUGAGGGUUUCUGGUUAAUACUUAAUUCCAAAAAACAUCGAAAGGUUACUUUUGCGCCACCCUGUAUAACAUGUGUGGAUAGUGCCAACCCUCUAACUUAAAAAACACCAGAGCGAGUGGUUUAUAAAAUCUUAAUUGUGUGUUUUAUUUAUUCAUUGAGGGUUUCUGGUUAAUACUUAAUUCCAAAAAACAUCGAAAGGUUACUUUUGCGCCACCCUGUAUAACAUGUGUGGAUAGUGCCAACCCUCUAACUUAAAAAACACCAAUGUUAUGACAUUUUCGAUCAAUCAGUUAUAUGGCUGCUAUAGGAUAUGUGGCCAAGUGUACUAAGUUGAUCACUUGGACCAUUCGAAAGACAAUUUUCUGCAGUAUUAAUUGGAACUAGAACAGGCAAGUCUUAUAUGUUUUUUAUGGAAUACGAUUCCACCAUGAUAGCUGUUUUAAUUAAAAUAUUCAUGUUUUUCUCUUAUUAAUUUUAGAAGUACUAAGAAGGUUCAAUUUGGCUCUUCAGAAAUGGAGUAAACAGAAAAGUUGUUGGUAUGGAGAAAUGGAAAAGACAGAGAAAGAACAAUACGUGAAAACAAGAAAGAUAAGAAAGCUAACUUCGGGCAGAGCCGAAGUUUAUAUUCCCUUGCAGUUAGGUAGCAGCUUAUAUUAUUAUAUGUAUAUAUAUUGGA